rnacentral:rRNA from 1 species
UACGUAGGGUGCGAGCGUUUGUCCGGAAUUAUUGGGCGUAAAGGGCUCGUAGGCGGUCUGUUGCGUCAGGAGUGAAAACUCGGGGCUUAACCCCGAGCCUGCUUCUGAUACGGGCAGACUAGAGGUAUGCAGGGGAGAACGGAAUUCCUGGUGUAGCGGUGAAAUGCGCAGAUAUCAGGAAGAACACCGAUGGCGAAGGCAGUUCUCUGGGCCGGUAACUGACGCUGAGGAGCGAAAGCGUGGGGGAGCGAACAGG